AAGGCCGGCCCUAAGCCAUGGCGAGGAGUGCAGCCGCCUAGGGCCCAGCAUGUCCAGGGGCCCACCAUACUCUCUGUGCACAUGUAUUGAUACAUUUGAAGGGAAAAAAUAAACUAAGGUAGCACUCGCAGCCCAUUAAGGACGGUGGAGCCAGCCAUGAGAGUUAAUCCUAAUUGCUUCGUUUUGUGUGAGACAGCGCCGCCGGUUUGUUCUUCUUCCCGUCCAAUCUUCUCCCUCUCCCAAUUAAUUGCACCAAGUUCCCAGGAGUUGGGCCCCAAGCGACGCUCAUGAAUAGAUUUUCAGUUAUAUCAUCUCCUUAAUUUAUUUUCCAGUGAGUUUUAUACUAGUAGUAGAUCGAAUAGUAGAUAGGUUCUUCUGUAAGUACCCACGGCGACAAGGCCCUCGUGGUGACCUCCUUGGCACCGGCGACGAGCUGAAGAUGCACCACAUUCGGCUUGCCGCUAAGGCGUUGACACCAGCACCGGUCCACAGGUAAAUUGUUCAUCCUAUGGAUUGUCCUUCUUUUCUUGUUUAUUGCGAAUUAUGUGACGAUUCUCUUGCAUGAAAUUCUCACACAAAGUAAUUGUUUCAUGUUAAAGAUGAUCGACCAUCACCACAUUACCACAUGACGAUGACGAUUAGAUGUUGCUGGGAUUUAUCUUGUGACAUUUCUCUACUGUUCUUGUAUGGAAGGUGUUUGUGUUUUUGUUCGAAUUUCAAAUUGCUACUUCUAGAUAGAUCAUAAAAUAUUUGUUUAAAAUUACUGUUGUGUCAUAUGGAUAGUUUGAACGGACUUGCGGCUGCGACGUGCAUCAGCGAAGCGAACAUGAAGACGUAAGGUGUGACCGUAGGGCCCAUUGUACCAUCUUCGCACUAGGGCCUCCGAGAUGCUAGGGCCGGCCCUGG
rnacentral:lncRNA from 1 species